GACGAACGCUGGCGGCGUGCUUAACACAUGCAAGUCGAACGGAAAGGCCCUGCUUUUGUGGGGUGCUCGAGUGGCGAACGGGUGAGUAACACGUGAGUAACCUGCCCUUGACUUUGGGAUAACUUCAGGAAACUGGGGCUAAUACCGGAUCGGAGCUCCUGCUGCAUGGUGGGGGUUGGAAAGUUUCGGCGGUUGGGGAUGGACUCGCGGCUUAUCAGCUUGUUGGUGGGGUAGUGGCUUACCAAGGCUUUGACGGGUAGCCGGCCUGAGAGGGUGACCGGCCACAUUGGGACUGAGAUACGGCCCAGACUCCUACGGGAGGCAGCAGUGGGGAAUAUUGCACAAUGGGCGGAAGCCUGAUGCAGCAACGCCGCGUGCGGGAUGACGGCCUUCGGGUUGUAAACCGCUUUCGCCUGUGACGAAGCGGGAGUGACGGUAAUGGGUAAAGAAGCACCGGCUAACUACGUG
rnacentral:rRNA from 1 species